GGGAUUUUACUACUCUCCUGUUACAAAUGGGUUAAAUACAUCAGUAACUCAUCCACACACAUUAAACAGAACAGCAUUAUGUAAAACGGUUAAGAUGAUUAAUAAUAUUAGCUUUGAGCAACUUUGCAAGCAGUUCUUUUGCGCCUUGAAAUGUUGCUGGAUCAGUGUACCAAAGAUGGAUAAUUUAUUCUGCUUCCCACCCCAUCUCUCUGGAUAGGGAGGAUGCAAUGGUGAGUGUAGCUUCAGUGUACCAGUGACUCACACCUGCAGAGAGAAAGG